rnacentral:rRNA from 1 species
CCUACGGGAGGCAGCAGUGAGGAAUAUUGGUCAAUGGACGAGAGUCUGAACCAGCCAAGUAGCGUGAAGGAUGACUGCCCUAUGGGUUGUAAACUUCUUUUAUAUGGGAAUAAAAUGUUCCACGUGUGGGAUUUUGUAUGUACCAUAUGAAUAAGGAUCGGCUAACUCCGUGCCAGCAGCCGCGGUAAUACGGAGGAUCCGAGCGUUAUCCGGAUUUAUUGGGUUUAAAGGGAGCGUAGGUGGAUUGUUAAGUCAGUUGUGAAAGUUUGCGGCUCAACCGUAAAAUUGCAGUUGAAACUGGCAGUCUUGAGUACAGUAGAGGUGGGCGGAAUUCGUGGUGUAGCGGUGAAAUGCUUAGAUAUCACGAAGAACUCCGAUUGCGAAGGCAGUUCACUGGACUGCAACUGACACUGAGGCUCGAAAGUGUGGGUAUCAAACAGUAUUAGAUACCCCUGUAGUC